rnacentral:rRNA from 1 species
UACGUAGGGGGCAAGCGUUGUCCGGAUUUAUUGGGCGUAAAGAGCGUGUAGGCGGCCAGACAGGGCUGCUGUGAAAACUCGAGGCUCAACCUCGAGAUGUCGGCGGAAACCUUCUGGCUAGAGUCCGGAAGAGGAGAGUGGAAUUCCUGGUGUAGCGGUGAAAUGCGCAGAUAUCAGGAAGAACACCUAUGGCGAAGGCAGCUCUCUGGGACGGUACUGACGCUGAGACGCGAAAGCGUGGGGAGCGAACAGG